GGGGGGGGGUGAUGGUCGAGAGACUGAAGGAGAGAGAGAGUCGCCAUGAGGAGGAAGGAGGAGAUUCUACGUCAAAGGGGAACAAAUGCAUGACCAAGUGUCAAAUUAGAGUGAGAGUCCACGCAAACAGCAGUGGAUCCACCUUGUGUCUCUUCUGCGCGCACCUUUGGAGGAGCAGAAGAGAAGCUGGACGGUGGCCGGGAAGUGAGCCCUCAAGAUGAACCGUGUCUUGUUCCGUCCUGUGGAGAACAAGUUGAGCCUGCAACCCUCGGCGUGCUGCUAACUCUACUUUUCUUCACGACUCUAGGGCUGUGGUUCUAAACCUUUUUCCAGUGAUGUACCCCCUGUGACCAUUGUUUUAAUUCAAGUACCCCCUAAUCAGAGCAAAGCAUUUUUGGUUGAAAAAAAGAGACAAAGAAGUAAAAUACUGUCAUGAGGGCAGUUCUCCUGCCUUAUUUUCCCUCUUGUUUUCAUACCCCCCCUCUUGUGUCUGUAAGUCUCCUACCUGGUCAUCAAUUGCAGGCGUGCUGCCAGUUAUCCGAGCCCACCUGCUUGUAAUCAACCACCUGACUUAAACCCUGGAUCUCCACCCAGCCAGUGCCAGUUUGUCCGUUGCCUGCGGUACAAUCCAGCCCGUGCUCACUUACUCUGACCUCUGACCUUUGCCCCGAAUCAUUUGUAAUUCCUGCACUUUUGUAUUUCCUCAGAAGGUGGACAGACUUUUGGCCCGGUUUUCCUGGAGCUGAUUUUUCGUUACUACAGAUUUAUUUUCUCCAGUGAUUUUUUUGUUAUUAAAUAUAGAUUUUUUUUUACUGAUCUGCA